AUUGAACGCUGGCGGCAUGCCUUACACAUGCAAGUCGAACGGUAACAGGUCUUCGGAUGCUGCCGAGUGGCGCACGGGUGAGUAAUACAUCGGAACGUGCCCAGACGUGGGGGAUAACGAGGCGAAAGCUUUGCUAAUACCGCAUACGAUCUAAGGAUGAAAGCAGGGGACCGCAAGGCCUUGCGCGUUUGGAGCGUCCGAUGGCAGAUUAGGUAGUUGGUGGGAUAAAAGCUUACCAAGCCGACGAUCUGUAGCUGGUCUGAGAGGACGACCAGCCACACUGGGACUGAGACACGGCCCAGACUCCUACGGGAGGCAGCAGUGGGGAAUUUUGGACAAUGGGCGAAAGCCUGAUCCAGCAAUGCCGCGUGCAGGAUGAAGGCCUUCGGGUUGUAAACUGCUUUUGUACGGAACGAAAAGGCUCUGGCUAAUACCUGGGGCACAUGACGGUACCGUAAGAAUAAGCACCGGCUAACUACGUG
rnacentral:rRNA from 1 species